rnacentral:rRNA from 1 species
AGUGAACGCUGGCGGUAGGCCUAACACAUGCAAGUCGAACGGCAGCACAGUAAGAGCUUGCUCUUACGGGUGGCGAGUGGCGGACGGGUGAGGAAUACAUCGGAAUCUACUUUUUCGUGGGGGAUAACGUAGGGAAACUUACGCUAAUACCGCAUACGACCUACGGGUGAAAGCAGGGGAUCUUCGGACCUUGCGCGAUUGAAUGAGCCGAUGUCGGAUUAGCUAGUUGGCGGGGUAAAGGCCCACCAAGGCGACGAUCCGUAGCUGGUCUGAGAGGAUGAUCAGCCACACUGGAACUGAGACACGGUCCAGACUCCUACGGGAGGCAGCAGUGGGGAAUAUUGGACAAUGGGCGCAAGCCUGAUCCAGCCAUACCGCGUGGGUGAAGAAGGCCUUCGGGUUGUAAAGCCCUUUUGUUGGGAAAGAAGAGCAGCAGGUUAAUACCCCGCUGUUCUGACGGUACCCAAAGAAUAGCACCGGCUAACUUCGUG